ACACAGGUGGUCAGGUAGAGAAUACCAAGGCGCUUGAGAGAACUCGGGUGAAGGAACUAGGCAAAAUGGUGCCGUAACUUCGGGAGAAGGCACGCUGAUACGUAGGUGAAGUCCCUCGCGGAUGGAGCUGAAAUCAGUCGAAGAUACCAGCUGGCUGCAACUGUUUAUUAAAAACACAGCACUGUGCAAACACGAAAGUGGACGUAUACGGUGUGACGCCUGCCCGGUGCCGGAAGGUUAAUUGAUGGGGUCAGCGCAAGCGAAGCUCUUGAUCGAAGCCCCGGUAAACGGCGGCCGUAACUAUAACGGUCCUAAGGUAGCGAAAUUCCUUGUCGGGUAAGUUCCGACCUGCACGAAUGGCGUAAUGAUGGCCAGGCUGUCUCCACCCGAGACUCAGUGAAAUUGAACUCGCUGUGAAGAUGCAGUGUACCCGCGGCAAGACGGAAAGACCCCGUGAACCUUUACUAUAGCUUGACACUGAACAUUGAGCCUUGAUGUGUAGGAUAGGUGGGAGGCUUUGAAGUGUGGACGCCAGUCUGCAUGGAGCCGACCUUGAAAUACCACCCUUUAAUGUUUGAUGUUCUAACGUUGACCCGUAAUCCGGGUUGCGGACAGUGUCUGGUGGGUAGUUUGACUGGGGCGGUCUCCUCCUAAAGAGUAACGGAGGAGCACGAAGGUUGGCUAAUCCUGGUCGGACAUCAGGAGGUUAGUGCAAUGGCAUAAGCCAGCUUGACUGCGAGCGUGACGGCGCGAGCAGGUGCGAAAGCAGGUCAUAGUGAUCCGGUGGUUCUGAAUGGAAGGGCCAUCGCUCAACGGAUAAAAGGUACUCCGGGGAUAACAGGCUGAUACCGCCCAAGAGUUCAUAUCGACGGCGGUGUUUGGCACCUCGAUGUCGGCUCAUCACAUCCUGGGGCUGAAGUAGGUCCCAAGGGUAUGGCUGUUCGCCAUUUAAAGUGGUACGCGAGCUGGGUUUAGAACGUCGUGAGACAGUUCGGUCCCUAUCUGCCGUGGGCGCUGGAGAACUGAGGGGGGCUGCUCCUAGUACGAGAGGACCGGAGUGGACGCAUCACUGGUGUUCGGGUUGUCAUGCCAAUGGCACUGCCCGGUAGCUAAAUGCGGAAGAGAUAAGUGCUGAAAGCAUCUAAGCACGAAACUUGCCCCGAGAUGAGUUCUCCCUGACUCCUUGAGAGUCCUGAAGGAACGUUGAAGACGACGACGUUGAUAGGCCGGAUGUGUAAGCGCAGCGAUGCGUUGAGCUAACCGGUACUAAUGAACCGUGAGGCUUAACCUU
rnacentral:rRNA from 1 species